rnacentral:rRNA from 1 species
UACGAAGGGGGCUAGCGUUGCUCGGAAUCACUGGGCGUAAAGCGCACGUAGGCGGACUCUUAAGUCGGUGGUGAAAUCCUGGAGCUCAACUCCAGAACUGCCUUCGAUACUGGGAGUCUCGAGUCCGGGAGAGGUGAGUGGAACUGCGAGUGUAGAGGUGAAAUUCGUAGAUAUUCGCAAGAACACCAGUGGCGAAAGGCGGCUCACUGGCCCGGUACUGACGCUGAGGUGCGAAAGCGUGGGGAGCAAACAGG